rnacentral:misc_RNA from 1 species
GCACGAACUGAACUAGAUAUAGCAGGUAUUGUGUCUUAAAAUCAGCUUGGAAUUACUUCAAUCAUUGGCCUCCUCCUUUCAACUCGGGAUGCUUAAUGCUACCUUUUUUUUUAUAAAGGUAAAGUUGUAUUCUUCUGCAUUAAAGGUAUGCUGGCUACCUCCAAAAAGGAAUAAAGAGGCGAACUGGUUUUUUAAUGUCAGGAAUAUAAAUCAUCAAU